CCUUCGGGGGGCAGCAGUGGGGAAUAUUGCACAAUGGGGGAAACCCUGAUGCAGCGACGCCGCGUGAGUGAAGAAGUAUUUCGGUAUGUAAAGCUCUAUCAGCAGGGAAGAUAAUGACGGUACCUGAGUAAGAAGCCCGGCUAACUACCUGCCAGCAACCGCGGGAAUACGUUGGGGGCAAGGCUUUACCGGGUUUACUGGGUGGAAAGGGAGGGUAGACGGGAUGGCAAGUCUGAAGUGAAAGCCCGGGGGUCAAACGCGGGACUGCUUUGGAAACUGUUAAGCUGGAGUGCAGGAGAGGUAAGUGGAAUUCCUAGUGUAGCGGUGAAAUGCGUAGAUAUUAGGAGGAACACCAGUGGCGAAGGCGGCUUACUGGACUGUAACUGACGUUGAGGCUCGAAAGCGUGGGGAGCAAACAGGAUUAGAUACCCUAGUAGUC
rnacentral:rRNA from 1 species